AGAGUUUGAUCAUGGCUCAGAUUGAACGCUGGCGGCAGGCCUAACACAUGCAAGUCGAACGGUAACAGGAAGCAGCUUGCUGCUUUGCUGACGAGUGGCGGACGGGUGAGUAAUGUCUGGGAAACUGCCUGAUGGAGGGGGAUAACUACUGGAAACGGUGGCUAAUACCGCAUAACGUCGCAAGACCAAAGAGGGGGACCUUCGGGCCUCUUGCCAUCAGAUGUGCCCAGAUGGGAUUAGCUUGUUGGUGAGGUAACGGCUCACCAAGGCGACGAUCCCUAGCUGGUCUGAGAGGAUGACCAGCCACACUGGAACUGAGACACGGUCCAGACUCCUACGGGAGGCAGCAGUGGGGAAUAUUGCACAAUGGGCGCAAGCCUGAUGCAGCCAUGCCGCGUGUAUGAAGAAGGCCUUCGGGUUGUAAAGUACUUUCAGCGGGGAGGAAGGUGUUGUGGUUAAUAACCGCAGCAAUUGACGUUACCCGCAGAAGAAGCACCGGCUAACUCCGUGCCAGCAGCCGCGGUAAUACGGAGGGUGCAAGCGUUAAUCGGAAUUACUGGGCGUAAAGCGCACGCAGGCGGUCUGUCAAGUCGGAUGUGAAAUCCCCGGGCUCAACCUGGGAACUGCAUUCGAAACUGGCAGGCUUGAGUCUUGUAGAGGGGGGUAGAAUUCCAGGUGUAGCGGUGAAAUGCGUAGAGAUCUGGAGGAAUACCGGUGGCGAAGGCGGCCCCCUGGACAAAGACUGACGCUCAGGUGCGAAAGCGUGGGGAGCAAACAGGAUUAGAUACCCUGGUAGUCCACGCCGUAAACGAUGUCUACUUGGAGGUUGUGCCCUUGAGGCGUGGCUUCCGGAGCUAACGCGUUAAGUAGACCGCCUGGGGAGUACGGCCGCAAGGUUAAAACUCAAAUGAAUUGACGGGGGCCCGCACAAGCGGUGGAGCAUGUGGUUUAAUUCGAUGCAACGCGAAGAACCUUACCUGGUCUUGACAUCCACGGAAGAAUCCAGAGAUGGAUUUGUGCCUUCGGGAACCGUGAGACAGGUGCUGCAUGGCUGUCGUCAGCUCGUGUUGUGAAAUGUUGGGUUAAGUCCCGCAACGAGCGCAACCCUUAUCCUUUGUUGCCAGCGGUCCGGCCGGGAACUCAAAGGAGACUGCCAGUGAUAAACUGGAGGAAGGUGGGGAUGACGUCAAGUCAUCAUGGCCCUUACGACCAGGGCUACACACGUGCUACAAUGGCGCAUACAAAGAGAAGCGACCUCGCGAGAGCAAGCGGACCUCAUAAAGUGCGUCGUAGUCCGGAUUGGAGUCUGCAACUCGACUCCAUGAAGUCGGAAUCGCUAGUAAUCGUGGAUCAGAAUGCCACGGUGAAUACGUUCCCGGGCCUUGUACACACCGCCCGUCACACCAUGGGAGUGGGUUGCAAAAGAAGUAGGUAGCUUAACCUUCGGGAGGGCGCUUACCACUUUGUGAUUCAUGACUGGGGUGAAGUCGUAACAAGGUAACCGUAGGGGAACCUGCGGUUGGAUCACCU
rnacentral:rRNA from 3 species